GUGUGUGUGUUGGCGAACCUUGUUGGAUGUUUGGCUUUAUCUAUAAAGCGGGGCGAAAGCCUUUUUCGGUAAGAUCACAGUUGGUCGUCACACUCACACUUCCAUCGGUUUCCGUAGGUCGUUUCACUCAAACUUCCAUCAGUUUCCCGAAGAUCAUGGUAGGUCGCCAUACUCACUCUUCCAUCAGUUUCUCGAAAAUCAUAGUAGGUCGCUACACUCACUCUCUUGUGUCGGAUUUUGGUUGGUUAGUACUGUCCAUCCUUAACUUUAGGACUUGUUUGGUUUCAAUAAGUCAUCUGACUUAUAAGUCAGGUGACUUAAAACCAAUGAUUUAUAAGUCACGUUUGUUUGGUUGUCAUCUGAUCACACAUUUUCACCUUGUUUUUAAUGUAAAGAUGAUGGAACCCACGCAAAAAAGGGUAACUUAUAAGUUUUAAGUUAGGGUGGAACAACUUAUGACUUAUAAGUUGGGAUGAUUUAUAAAUUGGGUCCGUUUAACAAAAUAAAUCAUUUUUUUCACUUUUCAACAUAUAAGUUGAUGACUUAUUUGAAAUCAAACAAGGCCUUAGUCUCUUAGUCUUCGUUGCUGCUUGCUUUCCAUGCACUGAUAUGCAGCCCUCUCUCCCGGUACACGAACGUGGUGCAGCUGCCUCAUAAAUCAGCCGCUAUUGUUAGGCUCGAGAACUGUCGCAGAGAAUAAAUUCCAUUUAUGGGCAUCACUUUCUCGAUGGUCCGAUCUAGGGAGUAGCACUAUACAACCAUUAAACAAGUGUUACUGGUACUAAGCGUGCGGCCGAGGGCCUGGAUACGGACGGAGACGUGCCGCUAGCACAUGCUAUAAACAAUCGGCAUUGCUAAAUUUCAGUAGACUGUGACUUAAGCGGUAGAUACUAGUAUAGUAUAUUUGUAAGAUCAUACGUGAAGAUUCAUAUAUUUUUUUUGCGAACAAGAUUCAUAAGAUUCAUAUUUUUUUUUAUUAUUUUAUUAAUAUGUUGUGUCAUUUGUUAAGUCCCAAUCGACUGAGGUCUAACCACACCUAUAUAUAAUAUUUUCUUCGUCCUAAAAUAUAAGAUUAUUUUUUAUAGAGGGAAUGGUAUUUUGUUGACGAAGAAGAGAGGAGUCCCUGCGUCGUAUCACUUUGUUGUGCCGUGAAAUUUCCACUGUUUGGCGUCGCAGUGGAUUGCCGCUCCAGUUUGAUGCAGCGUCUAUUUUUCUCCUUCCCAGUUAUACAACUGAGGAUGAAACCAUUUGAACUAACGGCACCGAGUGAACGCCCUGUCGUUUUUCCAACAGAAGGAAUAUACUACGCCAUCAUCAAGUAGCAUUGCGGAUGCACCCAGCUAAAGUACAUAAAAAAGGCCAACAUACAAUUCCAACAAACAACACUAACAUGCAUCAACGAUGGCAACCACGGGUAAUAUAAUAGAUGCUCCAACAACGAUGACACCAGGAAGGGAAUGCCAUACAAGCGCUAGCUGUUGUAGCUCGACCCGAUAACUAAGGCCAGACCAUGAGUUUUCAUCUUCGAGAUCAGUUUGGAUAAACUUUAUGCAAUGUCUUCAACAGAGAAACGUCGCGUGAAUGACACUAUUAUCAGGUCUAACUAAUGAAUGUCGUAUUUAGAGUUUUAACCCCUCAACCUCAAUCUCAUGCACACAAAGAGCACAACCUAGCAACAUCACCAUGUACUAUCACCACCUGUCACCUGUCGAUCCAUCAUCACAAAGCCGCACAUAGGCAUAGUAUAAUGAUGAGGGCCUAGCCACAUAAUUAGGACCAUGUCCACGCAAUACAUUGUAAUAGCCCAAGAUUAGCACUUUCCUUAGAAAUUGAUUGUGCAUCAUGAUCAUCACAUAAGAAUUUCAUGAGCAUCAUUUAAUUUAAUUUGGAAAUGAAUAUUUAAUCAACCCUCAAAAAAUUACUAAAGGGAAAAUGCUAAAAUUAAUGUAAAAUGGCCAAAAUACAUUUUCAAACCCGAGAUAAUCUAGGUAGAGCCAAUUAUUAAAAUNNNNNNNNNNNNNNNNNNNNNNNNNNNNNNNNNNNNNNNNNNNNNNNNNNNNNNNNNNNNNNNNNNNNNNNNNNNNNNNNNNNNNNNNNNNNNNNNNNNNNNNNNNNNNNNNNNNNNNNNNNNNNNNNNNNNNNNNNNNNNNNNNNNNNNNNNNNNNNNNNNNNNNNNNNNNNNNNNNNNNNNNNNNNNNNNNNNNNNNNNNNNNNNNNNNNNNNNNNNNNNNNNNNNNNNNNNNNNNNNNNNNNNNNNNNNNNNNNNNNNNNNNNNNNNNNNNNNNNUAUUUUACUAUUCUACUAUUCAUUAGUAAUUUACUAGGUUAUUUCCUUUUUGAUGUUCUACCUCUAGUCUUCACUUGAAACUUUGCCAUAGACUUCUAUAAUACUAGAGGAUAUCAGGCGCGUUCUAGCGGAAAUUGGUUGAUUUAAAUUUGGGUUGGCAUCCAAAACAUAAAAUCAUCUGACUUAUUAAAUUUGAUUAUGUAUAGUUGUAACUAUAUUUAUUGAAUAUAAGUAGAAUAACUGAAUGAAAAACAUUUUCCCUUGCAUGGUUGAAUGUUGUGGUGGGUCUUUUUCCAUGCACGAUUGCAUAUAGAGGUGGGCCUUAUCCGCAUGUUGAUGCAGGACUCGAUUGCAAUAUAUUUUAAUUACAUUUGUGUGAAAUAUACAUAUUUAGAUUAAUAGCACAUGAUUUAAAAAACAUAUGACUUACUAUAUUUUUAUUAUGCAUAGUUGUAAAAUAUUUAUUGAAUAUAAAGUAGAAUAAUGGAAUGAAAAAUAUUUACCAUGCAUGGUUGCAUGUGGUGGAUGGGUCUUUUUCCAUGCAUGGUUGCAUAUUGAGGUGGACUUUACGCCAUUCACAAUUUUAUGGUGAUGUAGCAUGCUUGCACCCCAUUCAUAAUUUAUGGUCAUGUAGCAUGCUCAUGUUGAGAUAAAUAAGUUAGUAGGGAUCACUCUCUUAAGUAUAUAGAAUUUGGGAACUACACAAAUUAUGUCAUGAUUUUAUCACAAGCUGGCUAACCAUUUUUAGUUAAAACCCAUUUAAUUCAGUUGGGCUACCCCAUGAGAGAUGGAUAACUUGCUAGUGUCGAGCACAACAUACCUGGCAAUGUCGAUCAGUUGUCCCAUCCCAGCGGCCAACCUAACCCUUAUAUAACAACCUAGCUGGCCGACUAGCCCUACCCUAACCUAGUGCACCUCCUCCCUUCUCUUCCGAUCAUGCGCUAGCGCCUUUAUCCGGCCAACGAGUCCCCGCCACCGCCAGCUGACCUUUGCCACCGUCUGCCGCCACUCCCUUCCCCUUUCUUCCCCAACGCAACCCGACCUUGCCCCUGCAUGCCUCAGCCCCCUGGGCCACCAUGGCCACUGCCCACCAUCACCAUCGUUUUUGUACAUCCGCUGGCCGACAUCUGCUCCAUGUCGUGCACGUACGUUGUCGGGCUCCUUCAAAACCAUUGUCGCCUCAUACCGCCUGGUCAACCGACUGCUCUUGCAGCAAUAGCGUUGCCUUCCUCCGCCGCCACCAUGAAUGAUUGUUGUUUACGUUGUUUUUCUUAUUGUUGUUGCAUUAUUAUGCUUUUAGAUCUUUACUUAGCCAUAGUAUGGAUCACAUUUGGUGGAAAGGCUUUAGCUUAGAAGUGGUCAUAGUUUGGGAGUAUAGUUUUGAGCUAGUAAGUUCAAAGUUGAAGAUGCUUGGUAAGAUAACAAAGUAAAUCCUAGUAGUAAUAAAACUGGAAGUAUUGGAGGAAUAACUUUAGACUAAGUGAUCACCCUUUUGGAAACGACUUUAGCCUAGUAGUGAUCACCUUAAGAUGGUAAUCAGAGCAUAGAAUGAUCAAAUCGGUGGACAAACUUUAGUCUAGUAGUGAUCAUGUUUGGGGAUUGAAUUUAAGCUUAUCAUAGUUGAGACAAUUAUUUACUAGUUAAGUUGUAUAGUCGUAGUACUGCUUUUACUUCAACAGUUAAACUUGAUAGUAGUUCGUGUCAAGUUGUUGUGGAUGAUUGAUAGUAUUGGAGCAAUUUCAUGCUUGAAUAAUUGGAGUGUUUCUUGGGUGAUUUUAUGAGGUUUUGGCUUGCGAGUUCAUUCAAUGUACUCAUGGCUUUUAACGUGGCCAGGUAUGAAGAUGUUCCCCACAAGUAAGGAGAGGGAGUUGACGCAACACUAGAAGAGUAACCCAGUCAGAUCUCGGUGGAGUGAAGCCGUGCUAGGACCAUGCUACCAUAGAUAGAGUUUCCGCUGCACUUAUAUAUGAAAUAGUCACUACGACUAAUUUGACCGUUCCGACCUCAACGCAUGCAUUGUUGAGACGUGGAGCCUUAUAAGUCGAUGUUGUAAAGUUGUGUAGAUCAAUAAAGCACUCUUUUAUCUGAUAGUUUGUACACUGUUACCCGUGAAUUGUAAAAACACGCGCCAGAUUGAUUUUCUAGGCUAGCAUGUGCGACCGCCCAUCUGAAUACAAUGGCAAUUCAUUGUACUCAAACGGGUUGCCACAGGGCUAUCGUGCCAUGGUCGUGCACACUAUUUCAUGUGCACAUCAGUUUCGAAAACGAAUUACACUUCCAAUUCAGUUUUGUAUCUUGUACUCCCUAAGCUUGCAAAAACGUCUUAUAUCGUGGGACGGAGAAGUAUCUUGCAAGACUUUAAAUUCAAGUUUAACCCAUUUUAUGUACAACUCGAGAAACAAAAGGGGAAUUCAAUACUUAAAUCAAAUUGGGCCAUGGAUUUUCGGAAGUCCUAUUAUGAUCACGAGAAAUACUUAAUUCAAAUGCUCCCCGAUGAAAAGUAAAAUAAAAUAAAAUAGUAAAAAAAUCAAAAAAAUGAUUUUUUUGGUAAUCUUUGACAAAUGUUUUGUAUGCUUGUCAAAUUUCAGCAUGAAAUGACAUUCGUGGAAGGGUAGCAAAAAAAUCAGCACUCUAAAAUGUUUUUGAAACUAAGCAUUUCUGGAACAUCGGUUUUGUUCUUUGCCACGAAUGGCAAUUCGUGCUGAAAUUUUGCAAAAGCAUGCAAAACAUUUGUCAAAGUUUAGCAUAAAAAAUUCAAAAUUUGUUUACUAUUUUUUUAAUUUUACUGUUCAUCAAGAAGUAUUUUGAGCUCGCGAGCAAAUACUCCACGUCCCAAGGAUUUGUCUUAAUAUACAUAUUCAUGUCAAUAUUAGAUUUGUCUAUAUUUUUGCUUCUUAAACUUUUCUUCAAAUUUGAAUUGUACAGUAUCACAUGUUUGGAGUAAUACAAAAAUCACAUGUUUUGAACAGCCCAUGCGUGUGGGAGUACCAUUGGAUAAGAGUGCCGGUCGCGCGACGCAUGUGGCACACGCGGCCGCCGCGAGCGUAGAGGGAGUAGCGCGAAUUCGGAAACGCGACGCAACACGCAGCUGCCGAUCAGUCGACUCGACUCGACUCGUCUCUGCCACCGCGCCAUUAACUGCGCGCAUUCAAGCCACCCCGCUGCGCUCCAACUAACCUCCCCAGCUCCACGCCUUAAAUGCGCGCCUCCCCUCGUCCCGAUCCCCUUUCCUUCAAGCAAGCAAGCAGAGGAGAGGGACCGGGACCGGGAGUGAGAGGAAGUUGAGCUAUUUUCUUCGUCGACGCUGGUUUUUGGCCCCUGACUGCUGGUCGAGAUGUCGAAGAUGGCGGACGAGAAGGUGAUUUCGGCGCCGGCGACCGGCGGAGGGGAGGACGGGCUGAUCGCAGGGGACCUGUCAGCCGCGGAGGCGCGGGUCCGUCCGUUGGAGACGCUGCUGCGCGCCGCGCCUCUGGGGCUCUGCGUCGCCGCCAUGGCCGUUAUGCUCCGUGACACGCAGACCAACGAGUACGGCACCGUCUCCUACUCCGACCUCGGCGGAUUCAAGUACGUUGCUCCCUCGCAUCUUGACUCCUCCGUCCCUGGAGUUCAUUAGCCCCGUAAUUUCCCCUCUUUGCCGUGCUCCCUCACCAAUUCAUCUCCCUGUGGUUUUUUGGCACAAAAUCGAAGGUACCUGGUUUAUGCCAACGGGCUGUGCGCGGCCUACUCCCUGGUAUCCGCGUUCUACACUGCCGUGCCGCGGCCGGCGACGCUGUCCCGCUCCUGGAUUGUCUUCCUCCUAGACCAGGUUAUUCACUGGUUCCUCUCCUCUGCCUUCACGAGUACUAUUAAUUAGAACAAUAUUUUGCAGCUUAGCUAUGAUAAUUAUGAGCCUUUUUAUGUAGCACAGCUAAAAUUCAGUCAAUUUUCCGAUUUUGUUACUACUCCAUGCGUGUACAAAAUCCAUGAGUAUACAGUUUGUAGAGCAGAGGAUAUAGUAUAUCAGUAGGUUUUAUGACUAGAAUUAUUUUGUAAGACUUUUGAUUUGUUCCGGCUAAUAACCGCUUUAGAACAGAGGAGUCAUCUACUAAUUUUCAUAUAAAGAUCCUACUCCGUAUAAGAUAGUUGGAGUGAGUGUUUAUACAGCAGAGAAAUUAGGCCAUGGUAGAAACAGAAACGCUAGCCCCGGACAUAAUUUACCUGUCAGUGUUGGUAUUGAUUUGUCCACCCUCAAACGACUUCGACCACCAGAUCCUAGCUUCCCUGUACUGUAGAACUUGCACAGUGACGGGAAACAGGUGGCCAUUUAUUCAUGCUAAUUAACCCGCAAGAUGCGUGGAUGGAUGCAGGUGUUCACGUACCUGAUCCUGGCGGCCGGCGCGGCGUCGGCAGAGCUGCUCUACCUGGCGUACAACGGCGACAAGGAGGUGACGUGGAGCGAGGCGUGCGGCGUGUUCGGCGGCUUCUGCAGGCAGGCCCGAACGUCGGUGGCCAUCACCUUCGGCUCCGUCGUCUGCUACAUCCUCCUCUCCCUCAUCUCGUCCUACCGCCUCUUCAGCGCCUACGACGCACCCAUGCCCUCGCUCGGCAACAAGGGCGUCGAGAUCGCUGCCUUCCCGCGCUGAGCCGAGAGGAUCCCUGGCUGCUCUGGCUUGGCUACUCGAUGACGGGUCAAAACUCAAAACACGUACGUACGUAGUAGUAUCGCUGUGUGUGUAGGCGAACGAAAUAAUCUGUAAGGGCUCAUAGUUAAUUUCAAGCUACAUAUAGUGCAUCUGCCUCUCUUCUUUUUACUUGAUUCUAUAUACACUGUACUAGCUUUGAAUCUUCUGCUGUGAGGCUGUGGUGGAUUAAUUGAUGCGUUCCAAAAAUGCGAACCUAGUUCCGUUGCAGGCACCCAGGUGAUCUAUGUAACUACGAUGAGCUUCCUCAUUUAAGGAGUUCAGUUGCUUGUAAGGUGCUUGAAGCAAAGCAAAAUCAAUACUCUUUCCGUUCACAAAUAUAAGAUAUAAGGUGUUCUAACUUUUUUAA
rnacentral:lncRNA from 1 species